GAAUCCUGCCGGAGGUCACUGCUAUCCAAAUUCGACUANAGCCAUGCAAGUCUAACAGAAAUGUUGGCGCAAAGCUCAAUAACACGUAGAUAAUCUGCCCUUAGGAGGAGGAUACCCUCGGGAAACUGAGCUCAAUACUCCAUAGACGUUAUAUGCUGGAAUGCUUUAACGUCCAAAGCUUCGGUGCCUAAGGAUGAGUUCUGCGGCUGAUCAGGUUGUUGGUAAGCUAAAGCCUUAUCAAGCCUAUAAUCAGUACGGGCCUUGAGAGAGGAAGCCCGGAGAUGGACUCUGAUACAACAGUCCAGGUCCUACGGGACGCAGCAGGCGCGAAACUUUCGCAAUGCACGCAAGUGUGACGAAGGAAAAA
rnacentral:rRNA from 1 species